GGAGGACAGGACAGCAGAGACGCUGUCUGCCAAGAGGCAGUGGGUGGGGGCCAUUUUUAAAGGGGGAAGAUGGGGAAGUAUAGCGAGUAGGAAGAAAAAGUAACAAAUACCUGAGCACACAGAUGUUCAGCACAACGUCAGAAAUGCUGAGAGGGAGCAUAAAGCCAGCUCAGGUCAUGAUCUCAGGUUCGUAACAUUGAGCCCCA